UAUCAAUAAGCGGAGGAAAAGAAACCAACAGGGAUUGCCCUAGUAACGGCGAGUGAAGCGGCAACAGCUCAAAUUUGAAAUCUGGCUCUCUUUGGGGGUCCGAGUUGUAAUUUGCAGAGGAUGCUUUGGCAUUGGCGGCGGUCUAAGUUCCUUGGAACAGGACAUCGCAGAGGGUGAGAAUCCCGUACGUGGGCGCCUGCCUUUGCCGUGUAAAGCUCCUUCGACGAGUCGAGUUGUUUGGGAAUGCAGCUCUAAAUGGGAGGUAAAUUUCUUCUAAAGCUAAAUACCGGCCAGAGACCGAUAGCGCACAAGUAGAGUGAUCGAAAGAUGAAAAGUACUUUGGAAAGAGAGUCAAAAAGCACGUGAAAUUGUUGAAAGGGAAGCGCUUGCAGCCAGACUUGCCCGCAGUUGCUCACCUAGGCUUUGGCCUGGGGCACUCUUCUGCGGGCAGGCCAGCAUCAGUUUGGGCGGUCGGACAAAGGCCUCUGUCAAGUAUCUCCCUUCGGGGUGACCUUAUAGGGGAGGCGUAAUGCGACCAGCCCGGACUGAGGUCCGCGCAUCUGCUAGGAUGCUGGCGUAAUGGCUGUAAGCGGCCCGUCUUGAAACACGGACCAA
rnacentral:sRNA from 1 species